AGUUCCCGUACGAUCACCGAAGUUGAGCAACGUCGAGCUUGGUCCGUACCUAGAUGGGUGACCGGUUGGGAAUACCAGGAGCUGUAAG